rnacentral:rRNA from 2 species
GACGAACGCUGGCGGCGUGCCUAAUACAUGCAAGUCGAACGCACUUUCGUUAGAUUGAAGAAGCUUGCUUCUGAUUGAUAACAUUUGAGUGAGUGGCGGACGGGUGAGUAACACGUGGGUAACCUGCCCUAAAGUGGGGGAUAACAUUUGGAAACAGGUGCUAAUACCGCAUAAAACCUAGCACUGCAUGGUGCAAGGUUGAAAGAUGGUUUCGGCUAUCACUUUAGGAUGGACCCGCGGUGCAUUAGUUAGUUGGUGAGGUAAAGGCUCACCAAGACCGUGAUGCAUAGCCGACCUGAGAGGGUAAUCGGCCACACUGGGACUGAGACACGGCCCAGACUCCUACGGGAGGCAGCAGUAGGGAAUCUUCCACAAUGGACGAAAGUCUGAUGGAGCAACGCCGCGUGAGUGAAGAAGGUUUUCGGAUCGUAAAACUCUGUUGUUGGAGAAGAACGUAUUUGAUAGUAACUGAUCAGGUAGUGACGGUAUCCAACCAGAAAGCCACGGCUAACUACGUG